UACGUAGGUGGCGAGCGUUGUCCGGAAUUACUGGGUGUAAAGCGCGUGUAGGCGGGAGGCCAAGUCUGUGGUGAAAUCGCCUGGCUUAACUGGGCGGGGUCCAUGGAAACUGGUCACCUGGAGGUCGGUAGAGGCAAGUGGAAUUCCCGGUGUAGUGGUGAAAUGCGUAGAGAUCGGGAGGAACACCGGUGGCGAAGGCGGUCUGCUGGGGUCGAACUGACGCUGAGGCGCGACAGCGUGGGGAGCAAACAGG
rnacentral:rRNA from 1 species